UACGAAGGGGGCUAGCGUUGUUCGGAAUUACUGGGCGUAAAGCGCACGUAGGCGGGUCGUUAAGUCAGGGGUGAAAUCCCGGAGCUCAACUCCGGAACUGCCUUUGAUACUGGCGAUCUUGAGAUCGGAAGAGGUGAGUGGAAUUCCCAGUGUAGAGGUGAAAUUCGUAGAUAUUGGGAAGAACACCAGUGGCGAAGGCGGCUCACUGGUCCGAUACUGACGCUGAGGUGCGAAAGCGUGGGGGAGCAAACAGG
rnacentral:rRNA from 1 species